rnacentral:rRNA from 1 species
CCUACGGGUGGCAGCAGUGGGGGAUAUUGCACAAUGGGGGGAACCCUGAUGCAGCGACGCCGCGUGGGUGAAGGAGUGCUUCGGCAUGUAAAGCCCUAUCGGCAGGGAAGAAGCAAGACGGUACCUGACUAGAAAGCCCCGCUAAAUACGUGCCAGCAGCCGCGGUAAUACGUAGGGGGGGAGGGUUAGCCGGAGUCACUGGGUGGAAAGGGGGCGUAGACGGCCAUGCAAGGCAGGGGGGAAAGCCCGGGGCCCAACCCCGGGACUGCCCUUGGAAAUGCAUGGCUGGAGUGCGGGAGGGGCAGGCGGAAUUCCUGGUGUAGCGGUGAAAUGCGUAGAUAUCAGGAGGAACACCGGCGGCGAAGGCGGCCCGCUGGACCGCGACUGACGUUGAGGCUCGAAAGCGUGGGGAGCGAACAGGAUUAGAUACCCUUGUAGUC